UUUAGUUAUAUUAUUACGUUUAUUGUCGAAACAUGGUAUAUUGCGUUUAAAUAGUGAAUUUCUCAAAAUCUGACGCGAAUAUUAACAAUAAUGUUUGUUGGCUUGAUAUUUAAUCAUAUUCUUGUUUCGAAGAUAUUGUUUAAAUAGUUUUGCUUAGAAACUUGGUCGCGUUUAAUGCGUAUAUCUUUACUACAUGCAAGUCUUUGAGGUUAAGAAUGCUCUGAGUGGAUGGAACGAGGCAAGAAGUAUUUUAUUCAUAUAGAAUGAUUACGAGUGUGAAUGUUUAAGCGUUUUGUGUAAUUAAUUAAAGUGAGUUGUGUGUGAUAUAGGAAAUUGCUCGUUUACUCAGGAUUUGGAUGUUUUGCCCGAGUCUCGGUGUGGAGGAAUAUACUCGGCGAGUGUAGGCCGUGGUGGAAGGGUGGUGAGGGUUGGCCGGGCGGGGAUGGCUUUAACCGGUCGAUACUUGGUUCCACAAGCGUUACACUAGGAAGGGGUGCGGGAGGAGCGUGGCACAGCCCUGAUCCUGUUGGCCGGACAUCGACGUUUGCCAGCCGGACGUGUAAUCGCGGAAGAGAGCUAAGACGGAUGCCAAGCAUGAAGAUAUUCGGGCAGCCUUUUGCGCGAGGAAAUAUUUAGAAAUGGAAUUAUAUUUAAAACACGAAAAAAAGUUUGAAGGUUGAUUCCACCCUCUCAAAUGGAAUUUUAUGCCGAAAAAAAGUUGUUCACGUGUCGAUUAAAAGGAUUUUGUUGUCUGUUCACUGGGAUUACGAGAGAAUGUUUCAUCACGAACUUUUACUAUUUGACCAUCACACGAUUAAUAAUAAAAAAUAUUAUACUCGAUUGGAUCAAUUAAAAAGCAUCAUUCACAUCAGAAAAAAGAAUCUUUGACGACCAAUAAACGAUCAUUAAUAAUGAAAUCUUGAUUGGAGAAAAUGGAUGUUUGAAACAAGAAAUGAAUAUUAUUCAUCUCGAAUGAUAUAUAUAUAUAUCUCAAUCUGUUCCAAAUUUUGCCUACUGCCCAUACUGCAUCAGUGGAACGAGACCGUAAAAGACAGACCAGGAGGACGAAGCCUGUGCAUCAUCCUCGCUACUCGUGCCAUCAACGAAUUUCCAAAAUUUCUGAAGCAAAAGCUUGGAUAAUUUCAUGGAAAGCCAAACGCACAAUAUAUUUAUUCCAUCGAACCGACUGUCAAACACGUUUCCAUUUCCAAUACAUAUCUCUCUCUCUCUCAUAUCUCAUUCUGUUCCCCUUUUCGACGAUUCGUUAAACGAGAACGAACGUAUCAUCGAGGGGACAGAAAGGGAGGAUAAUACAGAGGAGAGUAGGCCGGUGAUUGAUGAACUCUCGAGAAGAGUGAUUCGAGGUGAAAGGAUCGGGGAAGAUUCGCGAGCGAGCAACCCUUCCCUCUCCCCCUUCGUCCGUAAUUAUAAUCAACCGUGGUCGGUGAUAUCUGGCUGAAUACCAGAGCCGAAAUGUGGGACGUCUGUUUGUCGGAGGGGAUAACCGUAAUCCGAGGCCACGAACCGACUAUGUGUAUGAUCGAUGUAAACGUACUCGUGUAAACAGAUAUACUGACGCCUUAUGAUCGAUAGCCAAAGAUACCGUGUAUACUGGAUUUAUAUAUACAGGGUGUUAAUAUAUUCGUGGCUACGUAUCUUUGGAGGAUCGAUUAUGGAGAACAAAGAGAAAUAUAAAUUUCAUCGAUAAAAAUAUUGAAAAACUACAACACUCAAAUGUAUUAAAAGUAAAACAAAAGUAUAAAUUUCAUUGAUAAAAAUAUUGAAGAACUACAACAGUGAAAUGUAUUAAAAGUAAAACAAAAAUGCAAGUUUCAUCACUAAAAAUAUGAAGAAUUGCAAUAAUAUUUAAACGUAUUAGCAACGAAAUGUAAGAAACUACACAUAUAUUUAUGCAUUCCUGUAUUCGCGAGUUUUUACGUGACUAAUCUUAAGAGUCGAUAGUAUGUCGCCAAAGUGGAGUUUAGAGGAAAGUUUCAAAUUAGAGGAAUAACAGAUGAAGCGGAAGUCUUGGGGAGCGCAUCAGGUAAAAUGUCUAAAGAGUUUCCCGGCGUGGCGUAUCUUGCACAGAAAAUUUGUUCCACUUCUGUUUACUUUACCGCUUAUAUCUUCAAUGCGUUACAUUAAAAUCUCCUUAAACCUACUCGGUAAUUCGGAUUAUUUUGCGAAAUAAUGGUUUUAUCUGCUUUCAAUUGUUAACGA